rnacentral:rRNA from 1 species
CGGCAACAGCUCAAAUUUGAAAUCUGGCCCCUAGGGUCCGAGUUGUAAUUUGCAGAGGAUGCUUUUGACAAGGUGCCUUCCGAGUUCCCUGGAACGGGACGCCAUAGAGGGUGAGAGCCCCGUCUGGUUGGAUGCCAAAUCUCUGUAAAGUUCCUUCGAC